rnacentral:lncRNA from 1 species
CCCGGCCCGGCCCGGCCCCGUGCGGCGGGAGGCGGCCUCCCUUACCCACAAGGCCCCGCUGCGAUACAGCGGCCGCGUAGCUGAGCGCUCACUCAGCGCCCGUCUGUAACCGCGCCGGGAGGGAGCGGAGGGCCGCGAUGGAAAGGGAUCGUCGAAGUGAUCUCCCGCCCAGUGCCCGGCUGCGGGGCAACAGCCUUUCAGCCAGACGCACACACACAGGCUGCCUGGACAGCUGUCUGAGCCCGUCUGUCCCAGCUGGAACAGCACGCCUCUCCUCUGGGUAUAAAGGAACAGUGUUUUACAGCUUGGAAGUAAAAGGAAAAAUCUACGAUUAAGACACAUUUGAGCGCUGUGACAAUGGAUACCUGCUGGGAGGCUGGCUUUGCUCCUUGAGUGCCCAGAUAACAACAGUGCCUGGUGUAACUCAGGGUACCUUCAUGUCUUCUGCAUGAC